AUGCCGAGGCCGGCCCUGGCGGCGCGUGAGCCGGAGCGGGGCCCAGGCGGGCGCCAGAGCCGGAGCCGGAGCGCGAGGGCGCGCGGGGCCCGGAGCGGGGGACGCCGCGCUGCUGAGGCCGGCCGCCGCCACCGCCCGCGGGCCCCAGACGGAGCGCAGCUGGGUGCCACAAGAUUUGAGGCUGUGGGACCUGUCCGCAGAAUGUCUCCUCUCUCUCCAAGCAAGCCUGAGGCCACCAAGAUGAGCACCGCGGCUGAGCCCACGAGCGUGGCUGCGAGGGAAAGGGGAGUUGGAGGAGGGCCAGAGAAUGUCCAAGACCGGCGGAGGCCGGAGCAGCCAUGGCGUCCGGAGCUCGGGGACCAGCUCAGGGGUCCUAAUGGUGGGCCCCAAAUUCCGAGUUGGCAAGAAGAUAGGCUGAAGACAGUGCUCAUGAUUGCCAUCCAGCUGAUCACACGCAUGGAGCAUGUGCACACCAAGAGCCUCAUCUACCGAGACGUGAAGCCGGAGAACUUUCUGGUGGGGCGCCCGGGGACCCAGCGACAGCACUCCAUCCACAUCAUCGACUUUGGGCUGGCCAAGGAGUACAUCGACCCCGAGACCAGGAAGCACAUCCCGUACCGCGAGCACAAGAGCCUGACGGGCACUGCGCGCUCCAUGAGCAUCAACACGCACCUGGGCAAGGAGCGGAGCCGCCGCCACGACCUGGAGGCGCUGGGCCACAUGUUCAUGUACUUCCUGCGUGGCAGGCUGUCCUGGCAGGGACUCAAGGCCGACACGCUCAAAGAGCGGUACCAGAAGAUCGGGGACACCAAGCGAGCCCCGCCCAUCGAGGUGCUGUGCGCCAGCUUCCCAGAGGAGGUGGCCACGUACCUGCGCUAGGUGCGCCGCCUGGACUCCUUUGAGAAGCCGGAUUACGACUACCUGCGGAAGCUCUUCACUGACCUCUUUGACCGCAGCGGCUACGUGUUCAACUACGAGUAGGACUGGGCGGGGAAGCCUCUGCCAACACCCAUUGGCACCAUUCACACCGACCUCCCUGCCCAGCCCCAGCACCGGGACAAAGCCCAGCCAUACAACAAAAACCACACACUGAACUCUAGCAAUGAAGAGCUGAACGCAGAUGACCCCACAGCCGGUCACGCCAACGCCCCCAUCACAGCCCCUGCAGAGGUGGAGGUGGCUGAUGACACCAAGUGCUGCUGCUUCUUCAAGAGGACGAAGAGAAAAGCGUUGCAGCGGCACAAAUGACCCAGGUGCCUGCAGUGCUGUGACUUUCUCCGUGCAGCCCUGGGGCGCUUGUUCAGGACGCCCAGGGGCUCCAUCCUCAGCGGCCCGGGAUCCAAGCCCAGCCAAAGCCAGGGCGCAAACUGUGGGACUCCAAGGGCCCAGAGCGGCCACAGGCCCCCACCCCCGGGACGUGGGGUCACUUCCUUCACGUAAGACUUUGGCUGAAAUUUCUACACCCGUGUCUAGUCCUCCCCUCUGAGAGCAUUAACUAUUUAAAACAAGGAUAAAAGGAACAAAGCAGAGGCCACCCUGCGCUCGCCCCUCCUGCCGCCCGUGCUCAAGCGCCUAGCGUGGCCCCGGAGGCCCAGGCCGCCCACCCCCGUUGGCCUCAUCAAGUCCAGCU